CCCGACAUUUCUUAUAGGAAAUGGAACUCUUCAUAAGGUAUCUGGCCAUGGAGGCAUGGUAUCCGUAACAUCCCCCAAAGGAGCUAAAGAAGAAAUCCACAAUUUACCAUGAGCAUUUCUCGUCUGAAGAUUGCCAAGCGAUUCCUCCAGGACAUUCCUCAAGAUCAAUUUCUGUUCAUCCACCUUGUCCUGGGAGGGACAUCAAUGGGUUUCCAUGUCCUUUGGCUUCUGGUUGAGUUCACUCAGUGGAGAACCCUGGCAAGAGGCAGGAAAAGGGGAGGAAGGUGAAAACCAUCCAUUUCUUGGAGAAGUGCCACGGUGGGGUUGCAAGUCCCAGGAUCAAGUUUUCGAUGUGUCUCUUUUUCCCGUAAAGUGGCUGAAAUCUGAAGCUGAAUCUGCAAGUGUCAUGGAGUCAUUGAAUCUCACAGUCUCAACUGAUAAAAGUUAUUAAAGGUCGUCUGGUUCAG
rnacentral:lncRNA from 10 species